GAAAAUGCGACGAAGAGAAAGAGUAGUAUAAAAGAAGCUUUACAGAGAGUGUCUGGUUGGUGGAAAGGCUCAAGCAAAAUUAUAUGAAUACAUCUCAGAGCAGCUUCCUGAACAAAUUAUUUUUAGAUUAUAAACAGAUGUUUUAGUCAGGACAUUUAUAAUUAAAAGUUAUACAACUUUAAGUAGGGACAGACGGGAACGCCCGAUACAGCGUAUGAGUGUGUUUGCACUUGAUGAGGAAGAUUUUGUGAGAAAUCUUCAAUAAGAGGUGGUACCGCAGAUAAUGCCCUCUGU
rnacentral:ncRNA from 1 species